rnacentral:rRNA from 1 species
GUAGUCCUGGCCGUAAACGAUGAAUACUAGGUGUCGGGCGUCAAAACUCGGUGCCGCAGCUAACGCAUUAAGUAUUCCGCCUGGGGAGUACGCACGCAAGUGUGAAACUCAAAGGAAUUGACGGGGACCCGCACAAGCAGCGGAGCAUGUGGUUUAAUUCGAAGCAACGCGAAGAACCUUACCAGGUCUUGACAUCCUCUUGCAAGCGUCCUAAUAGGCGCCCUCCUUCAGGACAAGAGAGACAGGUGGUGCAUGGUUGUCGUCAGCUCGUGUCGUGAGAUGUUGGGUUAAGUCCCGCAACGAGCGCAACCCUCACCUUUAGUUGCCAACAGGUUAAGCUGUGCACUCUAAACAGACUGCCGUGGAUAACACGGAGGAAGGUGGGGAUGACGUCAAAUCAUCAUGCCCCUUAUGAUCUGGGCUACACACGUGCUACAAUGGUCGGUACAACGGGCAGCGAAAGAGCGAUCUGGAGCGAAUCCUAAAAAGCCGAUCCCAGUUCGGAUUGCAGGCUGAAACUCGCCUACAUGAAGUUGGAGUUGCUAGUAAUCGCGAAUCAGAAUGUCGCGGUGAAUGCGUUCCCGGGUCUUGUACACACCGCCCGUCACACCAUGGAAGUUGAGGGCGCCCGAAGCCAGUGGUCCAACCCGUAAGGGAGGAAGCUGUCGAAGGUGAAAUCAAUGACUGGGGUGAAGUCGUAACAAGGUAGCCGUAUCGGAAGGUGCGGCUGGAUCACCUCC